UGAGGAAUAUUGGACAAUGGGCGCAAGCCUGAUCCAGCCAUGCCGCGUGCAGGAUGACGGUCCUAUGGAUUGUAAACUGCUUUUGUACAGGAAGAAACAGUUCUACGUGUAGAACCUUGACGGUACUGUAAGAAUAAGGAUCGGCUAACUCCGUGCCAGCAGCCGCGGUAAUACGGAGGAUCCGAGCGUUAUCCGGAAUCAUUGGGUUUAAAGGGUCCGUAGGCGGUUAGAUAAGUCAGUGGUGAAAGCCCAUCGCUCAACGGUGGAACGGCCAUUGAUACUGUCUGACUUGAAUUAUUAGGAAGUAACUAGAAUAUGUAGUGUAGCGGUGAAAUGCUUAGAGAUUACAUGGAAUACCAAUUGCGAAGGCAGGUUACUACUAAUGGAUUGACGCUGAUGGACGAAAGCGUGGGUAGCGAACAGGAUUAGAUACCCGUGUAGUCCCUGAGCGGGCUGGCAAGGCGCAU
rnacentral:rRNA from 1 species